GACGAACGCUGGCGGCGUGCUUAACACAUGCAAGUGGAGCGACGAACCAGGGCUUGCCCUGGGGCAGAGCCGCGAACGGGCGAGUAACACGUGGGUAACGUGCCCCGAUGAUCGGGACAACCCGGGGAAACCCGGGCUAAUACCGAAUGUGCUCCCCUCACACCAGUGAGGGAUGGAAAGGAAGCUUCGGCCUCCGCAUCGGGAUCGGCCCGCGGCCCAUUAGCUUGUUGGUGAGGUAACGGCNCACCAAGGCUGCGAUGGGUAGCUGGUCUGAGAGGACGAUCAGCCACACUGGGACUGAGACACGGCCCAGACUCCUACGGGAGCAGCAGUGGGGAAUCUUGCGCAAUGCGCGAAAGCGUGACGCAGCAACGCCGCGUGGGGGAA
rnacentral:rRNA from 1 species